CCUACGGGAGGCAGCAGUGAGGAAUAUUGGUCAAUGGACGGAAGUCUGAACCAGCCAUGCCGCGUGCAGGAUGACGGCUCUAUGAGUUGUAAACUGCUUUUGUACAAGGGUAAACCUGAACACGUGUAUUCAGCUGAAAGUACUGUACGAAUAAGGAUCGGCUAACUCCGUUCCAGCAGCCGCGGUAAUACGGAGGAUCCAAGCGUUAUCCGGAUUUAUUGGGUUUAAAGGGUGCGUAGGCGGUUUGAUAAGUUAGAGGUGAAAUGUCCGGGCUUAACUCGUGAACUGCCUCUAAUACUGUUGAUCUAGAGAGUAGAUGCGGUAGGCGGAAUGUAUGGUGUAGCGGUGAAAUGCUUAGAGAUCAUACAGAACUCCGAUUGCGAAGGCAGCUUACCAAUCUGUAUCUGACGUUGAGGCACGAAAGUGUGGGUAGCAAACAGGAUUAGAUACCCGUGUAGUC
rnacentral:rRNA from 1 species